rnacentral:lncRNA from 1 species
CAGCACUUUGGCAGGCCGAGGCAGGUGGAUCACGAGGUCAGGAGAUCGAGACCAUCUUAGCUAACACGGUGAAACCCCGACUCUAUUAAAAUACAAAAAAAAUUAGCCAGGCGUGGUGGCGGGCGCCUGUAGUCCCAGCUACUGGGGUGGCUGAGGCAGGAGAAUGGCAUGAACCCAGGAGGCGGAGCUUGCAGUGAGCCGAGAUCGCGCCACUGCACUCCAGCCUGGGUGACAGAGCUAGACUCUGUCUCAAAAAAAAAAAAAAAAAAAAAAAAAAAAAAAAAAGAAAUUAGGCCGGGCGCAGUGGCUCACGCUUGUACUUUGGGAGGCCGAGGAGGGUGGAUCAACUGAGGUCAGGAGUUGGAGACCAGCCUGGCCAACAUGGUGAAACCCGCCUCUACUAAAAAUACAAAAAUUAGCUGGGCAUGGUGGCAGGUGCCUGUAAUCCCAGCUACUCGGGAGGCGGAGAAUCGCUUGAACCUGGAGGGCGGAGGGGGCGGAGGUUGCAGUGAGCCGAGAUCACACCACUUCUCUCCAGCCUGGCGAAAGAGCGAAGCGAGACAACGUCUCAAAAAAAAAAAAAAAAAAAGAAAGAAAGGAAAAAGAAUUUAAAAUAUAGUUAAGAAGCCAUGCUUACUAUAUCUAAUUAAAGAUAUUGGGACAAUCGAACAGCAAUCACACAAUUGGUUGCCAAUUCUACAGUAGAAUUUCGUGUUGGUGUAGGUGUCUUGCGCUCUAAGAAGUUACAGUUGGAGGAGAUAAGACUGAAACCCAGUUAUUU